CCAUUUGGUGUAUACUAUUUUUGAAAGUAAAUCAUAAGUUACAAGAAAGACAAAGGGCAAAUAUUUAGGAGCAUCUCUUUGAUUUGUGAACUAUAAAUUUCAAUUUAAGAUUGGAAAAAGGGGGAAACAAAAGACAGAGUGAAUUAUCCAGCACAAAACAUGGAUGCAAUUAGCAAUUCUGGAAUACAAUUUCUAAAUCGCCCGAACUCAGAAAAAUGUAAUAGAGAUCAAUAUGAAAUUAUGAAUCAUCAAUAGCUGCGGCCCCAGUAUGUCCAUUUCUUAGCAGGUUUACCAGAGGCAAAGCACAAUGUACCUAUGACGUAGCAGGAGAAAAUGAUAAUAUUAGAUUAUGGCAGUAAAAUUCAAUUUUCAAUUAAUAGUACCACCAAAACAGCAGUAAAACUGACAAGUCUACAAGUAUACAUUGGCAACGCUUAACUUCGCUGCGUUUUAGGCAAUAGUUAUACAUACUGCAAGGAUAAAUAGUACCUUCAGGCAGCUCAGGCUGGUCAAAUGGAGAACAAAG
rnacentral:lncRNA from 1 species